AUGAAUAUAAUGUCUCCCAUUAAUAAUUUCUUUUGUACAUAAUGUUUUAAAUAUUAUCUUCAUCUCUCUCCCUCUCUCUCUCUUCCUUAUCUUUAUAAAACCCCUUUUGGCGUUCUGUCUUAGAUCCAUGGGAGUAGUUGUAAUUUUGUUGAUGUUUCAAAGGAACUUGUUUAGGGUUAAGAGAGCUUUCUUCAGUCCACUCACGGGUGGCGUUUAGGGUUUAAUUAGCUGCCGACUCAUUCAUUCAAAUACUGACUCAUAAAAUUCAUGGCCUAUGGAUUCAGUAAACGACUGAAUGAUGCGGGAGACAAAUUGAAUCUUAAGCUUCCUGUACUUGGACUGAAGGGAGCUCCCUUUCCUUUUACCUUCUUCUUCAUUCAUUCUUUGAUCUUUUCCCCCCUUUUUCUUAGCUUAUUCUUUCAAGAUCUCUUUGUUCUAUGGUUAACCACAUUUUUCUGUAACUUUUGUUGUAAGUUAAAUGUUCCAGACACCCACUUUUACAUUUGCAAUGUUAUGUUGUAAGGAAAAGAAAAUUCUUGUUUUUGUUUUUUGCUUUGUUUUUAGCUUUCUUAUCAAUCAAGAAGAUCAAGGUUUCUUCGUCAGCAUACCUCAAUGGUUAAGACAUCCUCAAACUUCAUUAGAGUACUUAAUGAAAGCUUGGAUUCAGAUUUGCCCAGAGAAGACCCAUUUGAGAAAAUUUCAGGUAAAAUGACUAAUGUUUUCUUCUUUUUGUUUGGUUAUUAAUGUUUAAUAAUAUUAAUGGAAGGGGUGGAUUAGGGUUUUUGGAAAAGAUGGAAUAUUUUAGAGAGAGAAAAGGAGUUUAAUGGACACAAGGUUCAGCACACACACCAUAGCUUCUUGGGUGAUGGUCUUUGUGCUGCAACAAGUUCCCAGACAUGUUAUAUUACACCUUUCCCAGAGAGUUUUAUUAAAGAAAACAAAUUUGGUUAUGAAUUUACUGUUUUACCCCUUCUAUUUCUAUACAAUGACUCUCAUAGAUUUUAUUACAUUAAUCUUAAAAAAUCUCAGAAAACGACUGUUUUUCCUCCUCCUGUUUGUCUGAUUAGUUUCUGAGAUUUUUGUUUUGUUUUGUUUUCUAGUUUCUUUUUUCCCUUCCUUUCCUGCAUGUUUAUUACGACUUCUUCUAGGGUUCUGUCCUUUUUCAUUUGUUCAAGGUGGAUUUAAGGUUUUUUUUUUUUUUUUUAAUAAAAAAUGAUUAUGGAAGUUAAAUGGAUUAUGUAAAAGUUGCUUUAGUUUAAUGGGUAAUUGAUUUAUCAUUUUUAGGUACAAGAAAAGCAACUGAAUGAGAUUGAAGAGGUUCUCUAUGCUGUAAACUUUUCUUUUUUCUCUUUCUAUUUUGCUUAUUGAUAUAGCAUCUUCAAACAAUUUAAAAUAAAAACUAUCUGAUAUAUACUUAAUUAUACCCCAAGAUUUGGAGUUUUACACAUGUUUGAGAAAAGUGAUGAAAGAAGGAAGCAAAAGAACUAAAAAGUUAUUGAAGGGAUGGGAGAUCUCUCCCAUUAUGUUGAUUUAAGAAUCUAUGUUUUUGUUUCCUUUGAGUAAGAUUGAGUUGGAAAGUUUAGAUUUUUAAUUGAGGGUAGCUAGGAAAAAAAAUGGGGUUUAGCUGGAAAUUUUGUUGGUUUAGGAUGUCAUUAUAUAGCAUGUAUGAUAAAUUCUAUGGUUUGAAUAUGAACAAAUGUUAAUAUUUUCAAUAUCAAAUUCAAAAGUUGAAACCAAAUACAUUGUUGUGUUUUUAUUGUGAAAAUAGGUAUUGGUGCAUUGCAUCAUAACUCCUCAUCAAACCCUAGAAUAUCUGUUCUAGGCAAAAUCUCUCUUUUUAUUCCAAAAAAAAAAAAAAAAAAACCCCUUUUUCAAUCUUAUGAUGGUUUUCUUCUCUUUUCUGGCUGGUCAUGUUUGAGCAAUUUUAUUGUAGGACAAAGUUUUGGUAUUUUCAAAGUCAAUUUCAUAAUCAUUUUGUUUCUUAAAAGAAAAAGAAGAGGGGGAAAUUAAAAAAAAAAAAAAAAAAGAGAGAGAGAGAGAGAGAAAUAUGU